UACGGGGGGGGUAAGCGUUGUUCGGAAUUACUGGGCGUAAAGGGCUCGUAGGCGGCCAACUAAGUCAGACGUGAAAUCCCUAGGCUUAACCUAGGAACUGCGUCGGAUACUGGAUGGCUUGAAUCCGGGAGAGGGAUGCGGAAUUCCAGGUGUAGCGGUGAAAUGCGUAGAUAUCUGGAGGAACACCGGUGGCGAAGGCGGCAUCCUGGACCAACACUGACACUGAGGAGCGAAAGCCAGGGGAGCAAACGGG
rnacentral:rRNA from 1 species